rnacentral:rRNA from 1 species
GUAGGUGGCAAGCGUUGUCCGGAAUUAUUGGGCGUAAAGCGAGCGCAGGAGGUUCUUUAAGUCUGAUGUGAAAGCCCACGGCUCAACCGUGGAGGGUCAUUGGAAACUGGAGAACUUGAGUACAGAAGAGGAAAGCGGAAUUCCACGUGUAGCGGUGAAAUGCGUAGAGAUGUGGAGGAACACCAGUGGCGAAGGCGGCUUUCUGGUCUGUAACUGACGCUGAGGCGCGAAAGCGUGGGGAGCAAACAGGAUUAGAUACCCUGGUAGUCCACGCCGUAAACGAUGAGUGCUAAGUGUUAGGGGGGUUUUCCGCCCCCCUUAGUGCUGCAGCUAACGCAUUAAGCACUCCGCCUGGGAGUACGGCCGCAAGGCUG